UCAAAAAAUUUUUAUCAUUUUCGGAUGGGAAAAAAAUGAUCUAGCAUUAUGCGAAAAAUCUGUAUUUUGUAAUAAUUGGUAUCGCAACCUUAAUUGACUUGAUCAAGAACAAAAUACUAUAUGCUAUUAUUUUUUUCACAACUGUAUAUUGCAGGUUGCGCGGUUGUCGGCAAUUUGGCAAUUCGAUAGAAAUUUACAAGACUAAUACAAAAAUGAAAACAUAUCAAAACAUUUUUCAAAGUUUUGGCGGUUUGUGGGCGUUAGAGUGGGCGUGGAAACAUGAAUCAACAGAAUUGUCUUUGUCUCUGGAGUGUGUAUGCUUAGUCAUAACAUUCUUGCUUUUGAGAUCUCAGCGUUCAUACGGACGGACAUGGUCAUAUCGACUCGGCUAUUGAUCCCGAUCAAGAAUAUAUAUACAUACCUUAUAUGGUCGGAAACGCUUCCUUCUGCCUGUUACAUACUUUUCAACGAAUCUAGUAUACCCUUUUACUCUACACGUAACGGGUAUAAUAAAAUUUAAGGACUCAAUUAAAUAUGGUUCGUAGAUGGACCCACUGUUAUGCUAUUAUUUCAAAAAUUUGGAUAAUUUUUUUAUGAAACUUUCCUAAAGUCCUUAAAGAAAUGUCCUUUACGGUGGUCUUGCGUGCAUUAUUGAAAACGCUCUGCGAGGUGAGAUAUUUCUUAAAUAGUGGGUAACCGAUUUAUCAAUUGCAUAUUUUAUAUACUUAUUUGAGUCCUAUAAACUUUUUUGUUUUUUGGAAUUCAACUCUAAAUAACGAAAAAUUAUUAAAUAUAAAUCGUCCCUAAGUUCCAAUUUUCCACCGUUCCGCCAUCGCCGCUAACGCACUGACGCUAAUUUGACGCACGUUCUUUGGAGUAAUUGUAAAAAAAUUGACAAAAUAUCUAAGCUUCCGAUAUAUAUAUAUAUAUGUAUAUAAUAUACGUAUUUGCGCCAUCCAAACCGGCCAAUUCAAUUACUUCAUAGAACCCAUACUGCAUGCUAACUGCGCGUUCUUUGGCAACGGCUUUUAGCCAUUCUUGUAAAUUAAUCUUGAGGACUGACGUAAAUGAUGAGCAGCAAUGAAAAUUAAAAUUGUUCCAAUAGUGAGUUAAAAACAAGAGCCCGAUUAGAUCCGGAGAUAUCUUGCUGUGGAAUUCUCGAGACGUAAGCACACGACGAUGAGUAGAAUUUGGGUUGGUCAUGUCAUGUGCGGGGUGGUGUGAAACAGAUGGAAGCACGCAGAUGGCCCGUAUUAAAGGAUAUACCAAAAAGAUCUGUAAACUGUGAUGGAGAUAAUGGAUGCGGGUGUUUGAAGAUUAAUAUAGAAAAUUUUACAAGAACGGAUUUCUAGCUCCCAAAAA